rnacentral:rRNA from 1 species
UACGUAGGGUGCAAGCGUUAAUCGGAAUUACUGGGCGUAAAGCGUGCGCAGGCGGUUUUGUAAGUCUGUCGUGAAAGCCCCGGGCUCAACCUGGGAAUUGCGUUGGAGACUGCAAGGCUAGAAUCUGGCAGAGGGGGGUAGAAUUCCACGUGUAGCAGUGAAAUGCGUAGAGAUGUGGAGGAACACCGAUGGCGAAGGCAGCCCCCUGGGUCAAGAUUGACGCUCAUGCACGAAAGCGUGGGGAUCAAACAGG